rnacentral:misc_RNA from 1 species
AGUGGCGGGCUAUGUCUACGAUCCGCACACAAGCUGCGCGGAUCGCGCGGCGCGGCGGGCGCGGCCGUCGUGCUCGCCGCCAUCAGGGCACUCGCACAAUUGAAGGUUCCGCUACACGUGCGAGCAGUGAUCCCGCUGUGCGAGCAGCUCGUGAGCGGGCGCUGUCUCAAGCCGGGCGACGUGCUGCCUGCGCUCAACGGGCUGCACGUGCAGGUGGAAGACACUGACCUGGAGAGUCAGCUUUUAUUGGCCGACGCGCUAGUGUACGGGCAGACCGUGUACAAGCCGUCCUUGGUCGUCGACGUCGCUUGUCUCACGC